UCACCUGAGGAAGGGCCAUGCCUGGCUCCUUUCCUUUCCUCUUCUCAGCUGCUUCCUCACGUAACCUGAGUCUUUAGAAAUCAAUCCUGUAUGUGAAAAAAAAUAUGAAACUUCAUGUUAGAAAUGACUCACUCCCUUCCUGUGACAAAAACACCCAGAUAAGGGAGACCUCACCGUGUAGAAAGGUGGUCCUCUGAGGCCCACUGCACCAGAGACCAUGCAGAGAUAAGAAAGCCCCACAGGAAGACCUGUAAGUGUACGUUUGACCCCGGUCUUCAGAUCUCACUCCCCUCCUGGAGAAGCCCCCACACACGAGGCAGCAGGGGGCAGCUGGGCUGGACUGAUCUCCCCUUCAGGAUACAGACUCUUCCCCGACCAAACCCCAUCCAGAGGACAGCCCCUCAUCUCUCUGUGGAUCACAGGCUGAGCUCAGCCCUCAGAAACGGGGGACACAGAGCUUCGAUGCUCAAUGCUGCACACAGAUGACAAGCACCUGGGCCACUGCAGCUAUUACUGAGGGUGGGCUCCAGCCCUUCAGAAUAAGAAUCCCAGUAAAGCAGCACAAAUGCUCUAUUUGUAAAAUGCUCUGCAGUCUAAUGUGAAGCCAGGGUUGAGCUCCACUCAGAGGCAGCGAGCCCAGCACAGCCCCACGUUCUGGCUCUGCUCUUCCCUUGGGGCCUUGUUCUCACCAGGAUCCAGACAGUGGAUGGCAAAGGCACAAAACUAAUCACAUAGAACAAGCAACGUGCACCAGAGGUGGGAUGAAUGAUGGGCUGUGUGAAAGGAAACACACACAGGUGUGGAUGGGCUGGCCCCCUUGACCACUGCACUCCAGCCUGGGCAACAGAGCAAGACUCUGUCCUCAAGCAAAAAAAAAAAAAAAAAGGAAGUCUGGAGACACUAUCCGCUUCCAUCCGUAGUGCAGACCCUGCUGGAGCCACUGUCGGGAAGAGUCCAUGAAGACAGUAGCAGGGAUGCAUGUGGAACUGACUGUUGGAGAAAGAAACCUUCUCUCUAUUGCAUGUAAGAAUGUGAUUGGAGCUAUAAAGGCCUCCUGGAGAAUAAGCAGCUGCAUUGAACAGGAAGAAGAAAACAAGGGAGGAGAAGACAGCCUAGGAAUGAUUUGGGGAUAUCAGCAAAUAUUUGAGACUGAGCUAACAUUAAUCUGUUGUGACAUUCUGGAUGUGCCGGACAAACCCCUCAUUCCAGCAGCUAACACUGGCAAGUCCAAGGUUUUCUAUUAUAAAAUGAAAGGGGACUACACAUGUAUCUGGCAGAGUUUGCCACAGGAAAUGACAGGAAGGAGGCUGCGGAGAAUAGUCUAGUGGCUGAUAAAGCUGCUAGUGAUACUGCAUUGACAGAACUUCCACCAACACGUCCUAUGCGCUUAGGUCUUGCUCUCGAUUGUUUUACAUUCUACUAGGAAAUUCUUAAUUCCCCCGACCAUGCUGCAGGUUGGCAAAGGCAGCUUUGGAUGAUGCAUUGCAGAACUGGAUAUGCUGAGUGGAGUAAGCUAUAAGGACUCUACACUUAUCAUGCAGUUGUUUCGUGAUACUCUGACACUAUGUACUUCGGACAUGCAGGGUGACAGAGAAGAACAGAAUAAAGAAGCUCUGCAGGACGUGGAAGACUCAAAUUGUGAGCCAUAAAGACUCAAAUUAGUGAGCCAUAGAAGCCAACAAGAGAAACUAUCUGUGACCACCCAAGUCCUCCCCAUUCCACCCCUUGGAAACUCCCCACUGUCACCAAGAACCACUAAAUCUGACUUUUACAUUUGGUCUCAGAAUUUGGUUCCUGCCCUGUUGGGUUUGGUUUGGUUUUGUUUUAACAGCUUUCAAAAGUUCUUAAAGGUGAGAGUGAAUUUCUGUGGAUUUUACUGGUCCCAGAUUUUAGGUUCUUUAAGACACUAACCAAACUACAUACAGGCUUCUUCACCGUUACUGUGUUGUCUCCGUGCCAGAUGUGGCAAAAUCACUGCUAGAAAUGGAAAUGACAUUUGAAAGCCAUUAGACCUCUAGGUGAGGCAAGCACCUAAGAGAGAGGUUAAUCACACGAUAGAGACAUAAGUGAUAUUGGUUUCUAUUUUUGUAAUGGCUUAAACUGCAUUUUAUACCAAUGUUUGAAAGUAAUUGGGUGUUAGCUUGAGAUGGUUAGAGGUUGUUUGGGGAGAGAGUUUGUUGUAAUGGUUUUGCUGUAAAAAAUGUUUCAAGCGGCCGGGCGCGGUGGCUCAAGCCUGUAAUCCCAGCACUUUGGGAGGCCGAGACGGGCGGAU